rnacentral:rRNA from 1 species
AUACGUAGGGGGCGAGCGUUGUCCGGAAUGAUUGGGCGUAAAGGGCGCGUAGGCGGCCCGGUAAGUCUGGAGUGAAAGUCCUGUUUUUAAGAUGGGAAUUGCUUUGGAUACUGUCGGGCUUGAGUGCAGGAGAGGUAAGUGGAAUUCCCAGUGUAGCGGUGAAAUGCGUAGAGAUUGGGAGGAACACCAGUGGCGAAGGCGACAUACAGGACUGUAACUGACGCUGAGGCGCGAAAGUGUGGGGAGCAAACAGGAUUAGAUACCCAGGUAAUCCACACUGUAAACGAUGAAGGCUAGGUUUAGGGGGUAACGACCCCUGCUGUGCCGCAGGCAAAACAAUAAGCAUACCGCCUUGGGAGUACGGCCGCAAGGUUGAAACUCAAAUGAAUUGGCGGGG